CAGAAAACAGCUAACUUCACAGCUGAUGGAGUGGUCAUGGAUGAAGCUAACCAGUGAAAUGCUCCUCAAUUCUGGUAUUGCUCUUCCAAGGAGAUUUGCACCCCUGGGCGGGAGACAGCAUGAAUUUUCUGUAGAGAAAAUUGACAAGAACUUCUCAGCUGUGGAUAAAUAUUUCUACAGUGUUUUCAACACAAUCCUUUUAUAUGAGAUGAAGAGUUCUGGCCUUUGAGAAUAAUGGACAAAGAACCUGCAUUAACAGUUCCUCAUUGUCCAUGUGUCACUCAGAUGACCAAGGCCAAACCCUACUGACCCUGGGCAGGACAGGAGCAUGGUGUGAAGUGAAGAGCAAGAGAAAGUUUCACAGGAUAAGUGAUGUCCAACUGAAGUUUCUCUUUUUAUGCUUUACAGACCUGACAGCUGCAUCUCUUUGAACUGUGGCAAUGCAGAGCAGAGUAAGUUCCUCCAGCUGAGGCUACAGGGACUCUGCUAUGCGGGACUUGAAGAAUGAGGGUGAGAAGCUCUACUUGUUCUCUGCAUUAAGUGGUUGAUUUUGGAGACCUUCUGAAGGAUGUGCAUGAGACUGCAGAAGCAGGCUGGGGCCAGCUUUCUUUGCCUUCAGAAUACGAGGAAGUUAGGACAAAGGAAGUAGGGCUUUUCCAUUUGAUAUUUGUUUAUAUAUUUUGAUUUAAUAAUGGUAACUUUUCAAAAAGCUCUGAUUUUUGUCUUACAAUAUAGACUGUUCCUAGAAUUGCAUGGCAACAAGCAGAAUCCAUUUUAAGGGUAGAUUUUCAUACUUAAAUUUAUUUAUGACAUGAACGUAAUUCUUCAGUUUUAUAAUAAAUCUCGCUAACACAUGAAAGACUGUUUAAGACAAUAAUAUGAGGAGUCGUCCUUUCAGUUCAGAUUCUUUGUGAGAGGGUUAAUGUCUGAGCACAUCGGAGUCACCUCUGUGGAUUAAUCCAGUGGGCUCAGACCAGUCCUACUCAACUCUCCAAAACCAGCGCGAUAAUCAGCAAGUCUCUACACGGAGUUGACGAGUUAAGCAAUCACAAUGACUUGACCAUCAACUUGACCUUUAAGAUCCCUUCAGAAGAGGUUUGAUCCACACUGAUUUACUUUAUCUCUCAGACCGUAAGAUCUGUACUAAAACCCUGAUUGACCAGAAGUCAUUUUUUUUUUUUUAAUGCCUUAUGUUAGCCAAUGGCCCAAUGUGAAAACAGUAAGUGAAAGUGACACCUAACUGAAAUCAAAGGGAGGACUGCUUUCAAUGGAACUAGAAUUUCACCAAGCAAACCCCAUUGACAGUAUUUGGGUCUCACCUACAUCUGAAGAGAUAUGAAUGCUUUUGUGGGCCCCAUCAUAUAACUAUGUAAAAUGUAUCUUGCAAGCUACUCUGAUGUGUUCAUGACACUAAUGUGCAUUUAAAAAUUGUACAUUUUUUAAUAAAAACUACUAUGAUGACAUAAAUUAUUUACUGAGUUAGCGCAAAAUGCUGUGUUGCCUGACAUGAUAAUUAUAUUGUUCUGCCAUUCCAAUGGUAAGGAAAGCCUUUACAAGUAAGUUAUUUUUUUACUGAAAAUCAGCAAAACAACGUAUUUUGGAAAAAUAAAACACUAAAAGAAAAUUAGGUAUUUAUGUUGCUGUCACAGAUGCAAAUAAUAUAGGCAUUGAUAUUAUUCACUGAAGCUUAUCCUCAGCUUUCCAUAACCACUACUGAGUAACUUAUUACAUAGGUUCAUCCCCCACAGUUCCUUCAGAUGGCAUUUCCAUAACAAAAAGUUAUUUUAUGGGGGAGAUAAAUCAACUGCUUUUGUAUCUGCUCCCUUUUUGUCUUUAAGGAUGAUUUUCUACCUAUCUAGUGAUCGAAAUAGGUCUGAUUCUUUCUGUACUGUACUGAUAGA